rnacentral:rRNA from 1 species
ACGUAGGUGGCAAGCGUUGUCCGGAUUUACUGGGCGUAAAGCGCGCGCAGGCGGUUCGUUAAGUCCGGUGUGAAAGCCCCCGGCUCACCUGGGGGAGGGCAUUGGAGACUGGCGGACUGGAGGCAGGCAGAGGCCGGUGGAAUUCCCGGUGUAGUGGUGAAAUGCGUAGAGAUCGGGAGGAACACCCGUGGCGAAGGCGGCCGGCUGGGCCUGUCCUGACGCUGAGGCGCGAAAGCUGGGGGAGCAAACGGGA